UGGGGAAUAUUGGACAAUGGGCGAAAGCCUGAUCCAGCCAUGCCGCGUGAGUGACGAAGGCCUUAGGGUUGUAAAACUCUUUCGUCGGGGACGAUAAUGACGGUACCCGAAGAAGAAGCUCCGGCUAACUUCGUGCCAGCAGCCGCGGUAAUACGAAGGGAGCUAGCGUUGUUCGGAAUCACUGGGCGUAAAGCGCACGUAGGCGGAUAGUUAAGUCAGGGGUGAAAUCCUGGGGCUCAACCCCAGAACUGCCUUUGAUACUGGCUGUCUCGAGGUCGAGAGAGGUUGGUGGAAUUCCUAGUGUAGAGGUGAAAUUCGUAGAUAUUAGGAAGAACACCAGUGGCGAAGGCGGCCAACUGGCUCGAUACUGACGCUCAUGCACGAAAGCGUGGGGAGCAAACAGGAUUAGAUACCCAAGUAGUCCCUGAGCGGGCUGGCAAGGCGCAU
rnacentral:rRNA from 1 species